rnacentral:lncRNA from 1 species
GCCAGUUUAAAAACACAGAACUUUAUAGGCCAUAUUUCUGAUCAUAUUAAUGAAAUAAAUGUAAACAAAAAGACAAAAAAUCUCAACCUUGAAAAUUGAGUUAAACAUACCUGUGAGUAUAGACUAUAGACCACAGGAAAAACAAUGAGCCCCCAGAGUCUUUGGAACCCCUGAGUCUUUCCAAACUCAGGGAUAAGUGUAUAUAAUUUCAAUCAUGUUUAUUAUUAAAGAAGAUUAAAAAAAGGAAUCCAGGAUCUAAAGAAAUUAGAAAACAACAAUAAUAUAAGAUAAUAUGGGAAGAGUG